GUAGGGGGCGAGUGUUAUCCGGAUUUACUGGGUGUAAAGGGAGCGUAGACGGCUGGUCAAGUCUGAAGUGAAAGCCCGGGGCUUAACCCCGGAACGGCUUUGGAAACUGAGCAGCUAGAGUGCUGGAGAGGUAAGCGGAAUUCCUAGUGUAGCGGUGAAAUGCGUAGAUAUUAGGAGGAACACCAGUGGCGAAGGCGGCUUACUGGACAGUAACUGACGUUGAGGCUCGAAAGCGUGGGGAGCAAA
rnacentral:rRNA from 1 species